GACGAACGCUGGCGGCGUGCCUAAUACAUGCAAGUAGAACGCUGAAGGAGGAGCUUGCUCUUCUGGAUGAGUUGCGAACGGGUGAGUAACGCGUAGGUAACCUGCCUGGUAGCGGGGGAUAACUAUUGGAAACGAUAGCUAAUACCGCAUAAGAGUAGAUAUCGCAUGAUAGCUGCUUGAAAGGUGCAAUUGCACCACUGCCAGAUGGACCUGCGUUGUAUUAGCUAGUUGGUGAGGUAACGGCUCACCAAGACAACGAUACAUAGCCGACCUGAGAGGGUGAUCGGCCACACUGGGACUGAGACACGGCCCAGACUCCUACGGGAGGCAGCAGUAGGGAAUCUUCGGCAAUGGACGAAAGUCUGACCGAGCAACGCCGCGUGAGUGAAGAAGGUUUUCGGAUCGUAAAGCUCCGUUGUAAGAGAAGAACGAGUGUGAGAGUGGAAAGUUCACACUGUGACGGUAUCUUACCAGAAAGGGACGGCUAACUACGUGCCAGCAGCCGCGGUAAUACGUAGGUCCCGAGCGUUGUCCGGAUUUAUUGGGCGUAAAGCGAGCGCAGGCGGUUAGAUAAGUCUGAAGUUAAAGGCUGUGGCUUAACCAUAGUACGCUUUGGAAACUGUUUAACUUGAGUGCAAGAGGGGAGAGUGGAAUUCCAUGUGUAGCGGUGAAAUGCGUAGAUAUAUGGAGGAACACCGGUGGCGAAAGCGGCUCUCUGGCUUGUAACUGACGCUGAGGCUCGAAAGCGUGGGGAGCAAACAGG
rnacentral:rRNA from 1 species